rnacentral:rRNA from 1 species
CCUACGGGUGGCUGCAGUGGGGAAUAUUGCACAAUGGGCGCAAGCCUGAUGCAGCCAUGCCGCGUGUGUGAAGAAGGCCUUCGGGUUGUAAAGCACUUUCAGCGGGGAGGAAGGCGUUAAGGUUAAUAACCUUGUCGAUUGACGUUACCCGCAGAAGAAGCACCGGCUAACUCCGUGCCAGCAGCCGCGGUAAUACGGAGGGUGCAAGCGUUAGUCGGAAUUACUGGGCGUAAAGCGCACGCAGGCGGUCUGUCAAGUCGGAUGUGAAAUCCCCGGGCUCAACCUGGGAACUGCAUUCGAAACUGGCAGGCUAGAGUCUUGUAGAGGGGGGUAGAAUUCCAGGUGUAGCGGUGAAAUGCGAAGAGAUCUGGAGGAAUACCGGUGGCGAAGGCGGCCCCCUGGACAAAGACUGACGCUCAGGUGCGAAAGCGUGGGGAGCAAACAGGAUUAGAUACCCCUGUAGUC